GAGAGUAUAGCUCAGUGGCAGUGUGUGCCUAUCAUGCACAAGGUCCUGGGUUCAAUCCCUAGUACUGCCA
rnacentral:tRNA from 1 species